rnacentral:rRNA from 1 species
AUACUUAGGUGGCAAGCGUUGUCCGGAUUUAUUGGGCGUAAAGCGAGCGCAGGCGGUCUCUUAAGUCUGAUGUGAAAGCCCCCGGCUCAACCGGGGAGGGUCAUUGGAAACUGGGAGACUCGAGUGCAGAAGAGGAGAGUGGAAUUCCAUGUGUAGCGGUGAAAUGCGUAGAUAUAUGGAGGAACACCAGUGGCGAAGGCGGCUCUCUGGUCUGUAACUGACGCUGAGGCUCGAAAGCGUGGGGAGCAAACAGGAUUAGAUACCCUGGUAGUCCACGCCGUAAACGAUGAGUGCUAAGUGUUGGAGGGUUUCCGCCCUUCAGUGCUGCAGCUAACGCAUUAAGCACUCCGCCUGGGGAGUACGGCCGCAAGGCUGAAACUCAAAGGAAUUGACGGGG